rnacentral:misc_RNA from 1 species
UUUUCUCCAAGUCAGCAGCCUUGGGCAGAGUGGGGUUCAGCGGUCACCAUAGUCAGGCCCUUGGCCACCCCCACCAAGGGCCCCAGCUAUCCAGGGGCUCCCCCUGCCACAUGGGAGGCCUGAGAAGUCGGGGCUUAGGAGGACCUCAUGUAGGGUCCUCAUGUGGGGACCAGGGCAGCCCUUGGGGAGCCCCAGGAUGAUGGGGGAGGCACAGCCCUGCCCUAGGGAGCCCCAGACUGAUGGGGGAAGCACAGCCCUGCUGUUAGGGAGCCACAGGCUGACGGGGGAGGCCCAGCCCUGCCCUAGCGAGUCCCAGAGUGAUGGGGGAGGCACAGCCCUGCUCUUAGGGAGCCACAGGCUGACAGGGGAGGCACAGCCCUGUCCUCAGGGAGCCCUACACUGAUCGAAGAGGCACAGCCUUACCCUCAGGGAGCCCCAAACUGAUGAGGGAGGCAUAGCCCUGCCCUCAGGUAGCCCCAGGCUGAUGGAGGAGGCAUAGCCCUGCUGAGCCUCAAGGAGUCCUGGACUGAUGGAGGAAGCACAGUUCUCAGGCUGCCCCAGAACUGACGGGGGAGGCAUAGCCCUGCCCUCAGGUAUUCUGACCACAGGAGACACAGCCCAGAGCCAGCUCUGUGGCAGACAGGGUCUCCCACACUUGGAGUCCAGGGCCUGAGCGGGCGCCGUGAGCCUCAGCCUGAAGCCCUCGGAGGCCCCUGAACUGGAUGAGGACGAGGGCUUUGGCGACUGGUCCCAGAGGCCAGAGCAGCGGCAGCAGCACGAGGGGGCGCAGGGCGCCUUGGACAGCGGAGAGCCCCCCCAGUGCAGGAGUCCUGAGGGGGAGCAAGAGGACAGGCCCGGCCUGCAUGCCUACGAAAAGGAGGACAGUGAUGAAGUCCACCUGGAGGAGUUGAGUCUGAGCAAGGAGGGGCCAGGCCCAGAGGACACUGUCCAGGACAACCUGGGGGCCGCAGGGGCUGAGGAGGAACAGGAGGAGCACCAGAAAUGUCAGCAGCCCAGGACACCCAGCCCCUUGGUCUUGGAGGGGACCAUCGAACAGAGCUCGCCUCCCCUGAGCCCUACCACCAAACUCAUCGACAGGACCGAGUCCCUAAACCGCUCCAUAGAGAAGAGUAACAGUGUGAAGAAAUCCCAGCCAGACUUGCCCAUCUCCAAGAUUGAUCAGUGGCUGGAACAAUACACCCAGGCCAUCGAGACCGCUGGCCGGACCCCCAAGCUAGCCCGCCAGGCCUCCAUAGAGCUGCCCAGCAUGGCUGUGGCCAGUACCAAGAGUCGGUGGGAGACGGGUGAGGUACAGGCUCAGUCUGCGGCCAAGACUCCGUCCUGCAAGGAUAUUGUGGCUGGAGACAUGAGCAAGAAAAGCCUCUGGGAGCAGAAGGGAGGCUCCAAGACCUCAUCAACAAUUAAGAGCACCCCAUCUGGGAAGAGGUAUAAGUUUGUGGCCACCGGGCAUGGGAAGUAUGAGAAGGUGCUUGUGGAAGGGGGCCCGGCUCCCUAGGCGUCCCAUCUCGCUUCCUGGGUCUGCAGGUCCAGCCGGCUGGCACCCUCCAUGUACCCAGGGGAGAUUCCAGCCAGACACCCGCCCCCCGGCCCUGGCUAAGAAGUUGCUUCCUGUUGCCAGCAUGACCUACCCUCGCCUCUUUGAUGCCAUCCGCUGCCACCUCCUUUUGCUCCUGGACCCUUUAGCCUCUCUGCCCUUCCACUCUCUGACCACCGCCCCCGCCCUCCCCACCCAGCUCCGCUUCUUGUUACUUGGGGGAGGAAAGAAACUCCUGAUCAUUGGCCAAAGGGACUUACCCCUGGAGAGGCCAAGUGCCUUCUAGGAAGUUAGGAGGUUGAGGCACAGCCUGUGCAGAGAGGGUGGGUCACCCCCCCAGAUCCAAGGAGAAACUGCAGGUCAAGGGCUGAUAACGGCCAUGCAGGAUGCUUGAUGCUGCGUCCCCCGCUGCUUGCCGCCCCCCACCCCGCCAUUUUGUAUAAUAAAGCUCCCUGUGUAUUCUCAUGUG